UACGUAGGGGGCAAGCGUUGUACGGAUUUAUUGGGCGUAAAACGCGCGCAGGCGGUCUCUUAAGGCUGAUGUGAAAGCCCACGGCUCAACCGUGGAAGGUCAUUGGAAACUGGGAGUAUUGAGUGUAGGAGAGGAAAGUGGAAUUCCACGGGUAGCGGUGAAAUACGUAGAGAUGUGGAGGAACACCAGAGGCGAAGGCGUCUUUCUGGCCUAUAACUGACGCUGAGGCGCGAAAGCGUGGGGAGCAAACAGG
rnacentral:rRNA from 1 species